AGUGGGAUAGCUGGGUCAAAUGGUGUUUCCAUUCCACGUUUUUUGAGGGAUCUUCAUAUUGCUUUCCAUAGUGGUUGCACCAAUUUGCAGUCUCACCAGCAAU
rnacentral:pre_miRNA from 1 species